CCCUCUGCCUCCUGCAGCUACCGGGAGCCAUUGCUGAGCAGCUCGGAGAACGGGAACUGUCCCAAGGAGACGUUGCAUUCGGAUGAUCGGGAGAAGGACGGGGCGCUGGAGGGGAUCGAGUUCGAGGAGCGCGGCCUGGAGAAGCCGGAGAAGGACUCGGAGCGGAUCCUGGUGGAGCUGCUGGCUCUGCACAAGCCCCAGGCGGCAUGGGGUGAGGGGGGGCUGGCAGCUGCCGUGCUGGAGAGAGUGUCUGCGCUGAAGAGGCUGCUGGUCGGGGGGUCCCCCCUGCCGGAGGAUGGGGGCCGUGAGUCGCCUGAGGACGGCUGGCGCCGGGCGCUGGAGAACAGGGGCGCCGGAGACAAGGAUGAGGAACGGGAUGCGGGUGAUGGCGCUGAGAGCGAGGGGGGAGUGCCAGGUAUGAGAACAACA